AUUGAACGCUGGCGGCAUGCUUUACACAUGCAAGUCGAACGGUAACAGGCCGCAAGGUGCUGACGAGUGGCGAACGGGUGAGUAAUGCAUCGGAACGUGCCCAGUCGUGGGGGAUAACUGCUCGAAAGAGCAGCUAAUACCGCAUACGAUCUAUGGAUGAAAGCGGGGGACCGUAAGGCCUCGCGCGAUUGGACCGGCCGAUGUCAGAUUAGGUAGUUGGUGGGGUAAAGGCUCACCAAGCCAACGAUCUGUAGCUGGUCUGAGAGGACGACCAGCCACACUGGGACUGAGACACGGCCCAGACUCCUACGGGAGGCAGCAGUGGGGAAUUUUGGACAAUGGGGGCAACCCUGAUCCAGCAAUGCCGCGUGCAGGAAGAAGGCCUUCGGGUUGUAAACUGCUUUUGUACGGAACGAAACGGUCUGGGUUAAUACCCUGGGCUAAUGACGGUACCGUAAGAAUAAGCACCGGCUAACUACGUGCCAGCCGCCGCGGUAA
rnacentral:rRNA from 1 species